CACGUGGGUAACCUGCCUGUAAGACUGGGAUAACUCCGGGAAACCGGGGCUAAUACCGGAUGCUUGUUUGAACCGCAUGGUUCAAACAUAAAAGGUGGCUUCGGCUACCACUUACAGAUGGACCCGCGGCGCAUUAGCUAGUUGGUGAGGUAAUGGCUCACCAAGGCGACGAUGCGUAGCCGACCUGAGAGGGUGAUCGGCCACACUGGGACUGAGACACGGCCCAGACUCCUACGGGAGGCAGCAGUAGGGAAUCUUCCGCAAUGGACGAAAGUCUGACGGAGCAACGCCGCGUGAGUGAUGAAGGUUUUCGGAUCGUAAAGCUCUGUUGUUAGGGAAGAACAAGUACCGUUCGAAUAGGGCGGUACCUUGACGGUACCUAACCAGAAAGCCACGGCUAACUACGUGCCAGCAGCCGCGGUAAUACGUAGGUGGCAAGCGUUGUCCGGAAUUAUUGGGCGUAAAGGGCUCGCAGGCGGUUUCUUAAGUCUGAUGUGAAAGCCCCCGGCUCAACCGGGGAGGGUCAUUGGAAACUGGGGAACUUGAGUGCAGAAGAGGAGAGUGGAAUUCCACGUGUAGCGGUGAAAUGCGUAGAGAUGUGGAGGAACACCAGUGGCGAAGGCGACUCUCUGGUCUGUAACUGACGCUGAGGAGCGAAAGCGUGGGGAGCGAACAGGAUUAGAUACCCUGGUAGUCCACGCCGUAAACGAUGAGUGCUAAGUGUUAGGGGGUUUCCGCCCCUUAGUGCUGCAGCUAACGCAUUAAGCACUCCGCCUGGGGAGUACGGUCGCAAGACUGAAACUCAAAGGAAUUGACGGGGGCCCGCACAAGCGGUGGAGCAUGUGGUUUAAUUUGAAGCAACGCGAAGAACCUUACCAGGUCUUGACAUCCUCUGACAAUCCUAGAGAUAGGACGUCCCCUUCGGGGGCAGAGUGACAGGUGGUGCAUGGUUGUCGUCAGCUCGUGUCGUGAGAUGUUGGGUUAAGUCCCGCAACGAGCGCAACCCUUGAUCUUAGUUGCCAGCAUUCAGUUGGGCACUCUAAGGUGACUGCCGGUGACAAACCGGAGGAAGGUGGGGAUGACGUCAAAUCAUCAUGCCCCUUAUGACCUGGGCUACACACGUGCUACAAUGGACAGAACAAAGGGCAGCGAAACCGCGAGGUUAAGCCAAUCCCACAAAUCUGUUCUCAGUUCGGAUCGCAGUCUGCAACUCGACUGCGUGAAGCUGGAAUCGCUAGUAAUCGCGGAUCAGCAUGCCGCGGUGAAUACG
rnacentral:rRNA from 1 species